GAUGAACGCUAGCGGCAGGCUUAACACAUGCAAGUCGAGGGGUAUAGGUUUUCGGACCUAGAGACCGGCGCACGGGUGCGUAACGCGUAUGCAAUCUACCUUUUACAGGGGGAUAGCCCAGAGAAAUUUGGAUUAAUACCUCAUAGUAUGUGAGAAUCGCAUGGUUUUCACAUUAAAGUUCCAACGGUAAAAGAUGAGCAUGCGUCCCAUUAGCUAGAUGGUAAGGUAACGGCUUACCAUGGCGACGAUGGGUAGGGGUCCUGAGAGGGAGAUCCCCCACACUGGUACUGAGACACGGACCAGACUCCUACGGGAGGCAGCAGUGAGGAAUAUUGGACAAUGGGCGCAAGCCUGAUCCAGCCAUGCCGCGUGCAGGAUGACGGUCCUAUGGAUUGUAAACUGCUUUUGUACAGGAAGAAACACUCCCUCGUGAGGGAGCUUGACGGUACUGUAAGAAUAAGGAUCGGCUAACUCCGUGCCAGCAGCCGCGGUAAUACGGAGGAUCCAAGCGUUAUCCGGAAUCAUUGGGUUUAAAGGGUCCGUAGGCGGUUUAAUAAGUCAGUGGUGAAAGCCCAUCGCUCAACGGUGGAACGGCCAUUGAUACUGCUAAACUUGAAUUAUUGGGAAGUAACUAGAAUAUGUAGU
rnacentral:rRNA from 1 species